UGGGGAAUAUUGCGCAAUGGGGGAAACCCUGACGCAGCGACGCCGCGUGGAGGAAGAAGGCCUUCGGGUUGUAAACUCUUUUGGCAGGGGACGAAAAAAGACGGUACCCUGAGAACAAGCCACGGCUAACUACGUGCCAGCAGCCGCGGUAAUACGUAGGUGGCGAGCGUUGUCCGGAAUUACUGGGUGUAAAGGGCGUGUAGGCGGGGCGUCAAGUCAGGUGUGAAAGACCGGGGCUCAACCUCGGGUAUGCAUCUGAAACUGAUGCUCUUGAGUGUCGGAGAGGAAAGCGGAAUUCCCAGUGUAGCGGUGAAAUGCGUAGAGAUUGGGAGGAACACCAGUGGCGAAGGCGGCUUUCUGGACGACAACUGACGCUGAGGCGCGAAAGCGUGGGGAGCAAACAGG
rnacentral:rRNA from 1 species